rnacentral:rRNA from 1 species
GACGGAGGAGGCAAGCGGUAUCCGGAAUUAUUGGGCGUAAAGGGUACGUAGGCGGCUGGUCAAGUCUGGGGUCAAAGGCCACAGCUCAACUGUGGGAAGGCCCUGGAAACUGACCGGCUAGAGUGAGGUCGGGGUUGCGGGAAUUCCCGGUGUAGCGGUGAAAUGCGUAGAGAUCGGGAAGAACACCUGAGGAGGAAGCGCGCAACUGGGCCUCAACUGACGCUGAGGUACGAAAGCUAGGGGAGCGAAUGGG